CCAUGAUGUUUCCCUUUUUGAGAGAGAGAAUUUUCCACGUGGGUUGAAAAUAAGAUUAGCAUUCCAGUUUGUUAUGGUUUUCAAAUGCAUUUGCUAAUUGAAUUCUCUGCCCAACACCUGAGAGAGACGUGGUACCCAUUUUACAGAAGAAGAAAUCAAGGUACUGAGAGAUGAAGUUAUUUAUCAAGUGUCAUGGACUUAACAAGAAGUUACUCUGUAUGGCGCACAUUUAGGAAGCAGGAAUUAGGUUCCAUCUCCUUGAGGAACUUGAGUGGAUUGUCACGGUGACAGAGGUGACAUUUUAACUUCAGAGGUUUGGACAUAAAAGGAGGUGAUCAAGUAAGCACUGGCUCUGCACUGGGCGAAGGUCCACGAUGCUGACCUGGUGAUGGACGGAAGUUUCUACAUCAGUUCCAACUGCUCUGGUUUGCAAUGUAAAUGGACACCAAGACAACCAAGGGGCAGCCUUGCAGCAGAUCAAGAUCACCCUGCCCUGGUCACAGCAGCCCUUUUCCAUGCCAUGGCAGAUAAAAUCCAUGUCGCACCCAAGUAGGUCAAGGAAGAAAGGACAGAAAGAGAGAAGCAAGGGAAGGGUACAGGGGGCAACAGAGGGAUAAAAAGAGAGGGAAAUAAAUGUGUU